rnacentral:rRNA from 1 species
AGACCCGAAACCCGGUGAUCUAGCCAUGGGCAGGUUGAAGGUUGGGUAACACUAACUGGAGGACCGAACCGACUAAUGUUGAAAAAUUAGCGGAUGACCUGUGGCUGGGGGUGAAAGGCCAAUCAAACCGGGAGAUAGCUGGUUCUCCCCGAAAGCUAUUUAGGUAGCGCCUCGUGAAUUCAUCUCCGGGGGUAGAGCACUGUUUCGGCUAGGGGGCCAUCCCGGCUUACCAACCCGAUGCAAACUGCGAAUACCGGAGAAUGUUAUCACGGGAGACACACGGCGGGUGCUAACGUCCGUCGUGAAGAGGGAAACAACCCAGACCGCCAGCUAAGGUCCCAAAGUCAUGGUUAAGUGGGAAACGAUGUGGGAAGGCCCAGACAGCCAGGAUGUUGGCUUAGAAGCAGCCAUCAUUUAAAGAAAGCGUAAUAGCUCACUGGUCGAGUCGGCCUGCGCGGAAGAUGUAACGGGGCUAAACCAUGCACCGAAGCUGCGGCAGCGACACUGUGUGUUGUUGGGUAGGGGAGCGUUCUGUAAGCCUGUGAAGGUGUGUCGUGAGGCAUGCUGGAGGUAUCAGAAGUGCGAAUGCUGACAUAAGUAACGAUAAAGCGGGUGAAAAGCCCGCUCGCCGGAAGACCAAGGGUUCCUGUCCAACGUUAAUCGGGGCAGGGUGAGUCGACCCCUAAGGCGAGGCCGAAAGGCGUAGUCGAUGGGAAACGGGUUAAUAUUCCCGUACUUGGUGUUACUGCGAAGGGGGGACGGAGAAGGCUAUGUUGGCCGGGCGACGGUUGUCCCGGUUUAAGCGUGUAGGUGUGUGUUCCAGGUAAAUCCGGUUCACUUUAACACUGAGGCGUGAUGACGAGGCACUACGGUGCUGAAGCAACAAAUGCCCUGCUUCCAGGAAAAGCCUCUAAGCAUCAGGUAACAUCAAAUCGUACCCCAAACCGACACAGGUGGUCAGGUAGAGAAUACCAAGGCGCUUGAGAGAACUCGGGUGAAGGAACUAGGCAAAAUGGUGCCGUAACUUCGGGAGAAGGCACGCUGACACGUAGGUGAAGUGAUUUACUCAUGGAGCUGAAGUCAGUCGAAGAUACCAGCUGGCUGCAACUGUUUAUUAAAAACACAGCACUGUGCAAACACGAAAGUGGACGUAUACGGUGUGACGCCUGCCCGGUGCCGGAAGGUUAAUUGAUGGGGUCAGCGCAAGCGAAGCUCCUGAUCGAAGCCCCGGUAAACGGCGGCCGUAACUAUAACGGUCCUAAGGUAGCGAAAUUCCUUGUCGGGUAAGUUCCGACCUGCACGAAUGGCGUAAUGAUGGCCAGGCUGUCUCCACCCGAGACUCAGUGAAAUUGAACUCGCUGUGAAGAUGCAGUGUACCCGCGGCAAGACGGAAAGACCCCGUGAACCUUUACUAUAGCUUGACACUGAACAUUGAGCCUUGAUGUGUAGGAUAGGUGGGAG